CUUAGGCUGAUGAGAAGCAGUAUUAGUUGCUUCCUGUUUUCUUAGAUUUUGAGCAUGCCUGCUUAAAGGCAUUCCUCCCUAAAGUCUCAUGCAUUAGGAAAAUAAUUCUAAAAUAAGCUUCAUACUCAGCUUUCCAUUUAAUUUGGCUCAAAUUCAGUGUUCUUUGUGUUGAGGAUCACCUAGCACUAACUGUAGUCCUUACUUUCCUCAAAAUCUGUUUUUAUCUGUAUAGUGGUGUAUACUCAUGAGGUGUGAGUCAGUAUAUCAGUCUGGGUGUGAUGCCCAAAACUAUAGUAGAGCUGCAGCUUUGCUACAGUCAACAUAGGGAGCUGCCUUUUGGAAAAAAGUGGAUUCUCCAAAGUACCGUAGAAUCUGCAUACAUCCUCGAGUCUUCCUCCUGGACACAGUAAAAAACUGGGAUAGAAAAGCAAAGAUAAGAACAUCUGAAAAACAGCAACAAGCUUAUGCCCUUUAUCCCUUGUCCUGUCACUGGAGACAGUAGAAGAAAGUGCUGCCCCAUCUUCUUGACAUCUUUUAAAUACUUACAAUGAACAACAGCCUCUCUCCAUGUCUCCUAAUUUAGUCCUUUUGGUUUGGUGCUGUUUUCCAAGAAAAGAAGAAACACUUGGAGAUAAUUGUUGAAGAGGAAACCUGAGGAAUCUAUACAUAAAUGUCACAUGUUCCUGUGUUUAUGGAAACAAGCUCAUAAAGUACCUGAUGAUGGAAAGUCUGAGUAGUUUGCCACAUAUAAGCUUGUCUGCAGCUUCUGCUGAUAUGCUGAUCCAAAACUGAGCCUGGGUUUAUGACUACUGUGACUGCAGCAUAUCAAAGCUGGCUUUGAAGGUGGAAAUGUGGAUACACAGUUGCUAUCCAAAUCAGGAGUAGGCGAGGGCAAGGGCCCAGGAGUAUCUAAUGCUGGACAAGUGCAGCCUGGAAUGAAGACUCUUGUCUGGCCAUGAAGGCAUUCAGCACACAGGCCACAUUGGGAAAGUUCACCAUUUCAAAACCUCCGAGGAAAGAAUUUCAGAGGCUCCAAAAGGAUAUACAGCUGUGUAUUGAAAUGUUUUACCUUGUUAAGAUAAAAAGGAGAAUCUGCAGAUUAAGACAAGGAUGCCAACGUUGAAACCACAUUGCAUUUCAGGGGACAUGGAUUCAAUAAUCCACACAGUACCUUUCAACUUUCCAUGCAAUGUUAAAGUUACAACACAAUUGUCUGAACACAAUAAUGAAAAUAAAGAAGCACGUAUACAGGACUGUAAAGACAUGUAUGGAUUUUCAGCUUAUUUGUUUUGGAGACUUUUUGGGUUUUUUUUCCAGUGAAGUGAUGAACUCCAAACACUUUUUUAUUCCAAUAUUCAAUUGCUCUGUGAGAAAGACUUUGCCAUGGUACCUUCCAGCAAAUAAAGACACAACAUCUCAGCCUUGCACAGUGAGCUCAUCGGGAAGUUACUUGUGGAAUAGCAGCUGCAGUGAGUGUUAAUCUAGAGAAUUGAUAAGGAAAUAGGAUGGACUAACUCACUUUCCUGGAGAGCUUAUCUGUCAUUUAGGCUUAUGUAAAAUAUUCUAAUAAUGUGCAGACCCUGGUGUCCAGAAGCUGUCGCUGGGGCAUGAAUCAGGGUUUGCAUAACAACAGGACGGGGUAUCCUCACUAAGUUUCUUCCUGUCCUCUUGUUCUCAGUCCUCCCUGUGCCUGGAAUGUAAAUUCUAAACCACCAAAUGAGUCAGUAAGCAAACCCAUACAAGGCAGCUGGCAGGUGGUCAGCAAGUGGUCAGGACAGCAGGAGAGCACCAAUACAUUGUGUGUCUUAACACUCAAUAUAGCUUGUAAGAGAUUUCAGAGUAUGCACAGUCUGUACAGAAGAUCAUGGCUCAGAUGUCCAGUCACAGGAAGCGCAAGUAUGUAAUCUUGUACCCCUGCAUCACACAGGUUUCCUGGAGAUUCUGGUCCUGAGUACUUAAAGAUACUGUUCGGUCAAGAGAGACCUCAGCUUACAAGAUGUUUCUUUUUUUCAUAUCAAUUGAGUGUUCAUUACAGGCUUUUCUGUGAUGAGGUUGAUGGCUAAAGUAACCUUCGUCUCUACAAUUCUCGCAUUCAGAUUCAACAGAUAGACUUGUUUGACCUUUGAAGGUCUUAAUAAUGGAAGGGGGAUAAUGCAUA